rfam:Triticum aestivum genome assembly, contig: Triticum_aestivum_CS42_TGACv1_scaffold_640818_T_3B-0.169335_2BL-0.120279
UUUGUACUCCCUCUGUCCCAAAAUUCUUGUCUUAAAUUUGUCUAAAUACGGAUGUAUCUAGUUACAUUUUAGUGUUAGAUACAUCUAUAUCUAAACAAAUGUAAGACAAGAAUUUUGGGACGGAGGGAAUACUAC